AGGACAUGCUACUGUACAGAACUUGAGAUCUAAUGUAUCAUGUGUUCCACUUUUAUUUUUUUAUAUUUUUUGCAUAUUUUUUCUUUCAUUUUUUAUUUUGUACUGAUGUAAUUUAAUUUUAUACUAAUUACUAAGUAGAAUUUGUUUCAUUCAAUUAAGGUAUAUUUAUUAAUAUUUAAUUUCAGUUUAAAAUUAUUAUUAGGAUGGAUAAAUCUAAAGUCGGGGUUGUAAAUAAAAGUUAAAUAUAAUUCACAUAAUAUUACAAUAAAUUUUAUUUUCAUAAAAAAUAUUAUUAAAAUAAUAAAU
rnacentral:lncRNA from 1 species